rnacentral:lncRNA from 1 species
AAACCCCCGCUGCUCCGUAGCCUUGGGACCCUGGGCGCCGCGUUGCCCGUCCGGCGCGUAAGCCCGAGCCCCUCUCCUGGGCCUCCCGCGCCCUGCCCCCUAGCGCGCCCCCCGAACGCCUCCGCCUCCCGGGGUCCGCUCCCCGCCGGGGCCUCGAGAAGGAAGGUGUCACGUUGGUGGCAUUCGAGCCAGCCGGCAAGACGAAUGUCCGGGUUGUCACUUUUGAGAAAUCCCAGCCAGCCAGAGCAGCAGACCAAAGAGUGCAUCAAAUGUACAUUAUUUCAGCAUAGAUAAUGAACUUGAAUAUGAGAACUUCUACGCAGAUUUUGGACCACUCAAUCUGGCAAUGGUUUACAGAUAUUGUUGCAAGAUCAAUAAGAAAUUAAAGUCCAUUACAAUGUUAAGGAAGAAAAUUGUUCAUUUUACUGGCUCUGAUCAGAGAAAACAAGCAAAUGCUGCCUUCCUUGUUGGAUGCUACAUGGUUAUAUAUUUGGGGAGAACCCCAGAAGAAGCAUAUAGAAUAUUAAUCUUUGGAGAGACAUCCUAUAUUCCU